ACGGAAGGCAGCAGUGGGGAAUAUUGCACGAUGGGGGAAACCCUGAUGCAGCGACGCCGCGUGAGUGAAGAAGUAUUUCGGUAUGUAAAGCUCUAUCAGCAGGAAAGAAAAUGACGGUACCUGACUAAGAAGCCCCGGCUAACUACGUGCCAGCAGCCGCGGUAAUACGUAGGGGGCAAGCGUUAUCCGGAUUUACUGGGUGUAAAGGGAGCGUAGACGGCUUUGCAAGUCUGAAGUGAAAGCCCGGGGCUCAACCCCGGAACUGCUUUGGAAACUGUAGAGCUAGAGUGCAGGAGAGGUAAGUGGAAUUCCUAGUGUAGCGGUGAAAUGCGUAGAUAUUAGGAGGAACACCAGUGGCGAAGGCGGCUUACUGGACUGUAACUGACGUUGAGGCUCGAAGGCGUGGGGAGCAAACAGGAUUAGAUACCCUGGUA
rnacentral:rRNA from 1 species